ACCAGGCCAAACCAAACCAAAGCCACACCCCUGAACCUGUGUGACCUGUCGUGCUGCCAACCACGGGCACGUUUCUGGGUGUUUCGUUCCACUGCUCGUCCACAAACCCUGACUGAUGCGAAAGUUCAGUUGAUGAGGUGAACUCACUGCGCUCUAACGAGAUGUGACUCAAAACCAAAGUACGACUCCAUUAUAGAAAGAAAAAGAUUACUCGAGCUACAGGUGGUCGGAGAUGGAAGGCCUUCCAGAUGGAGAAAGGAACAGCUCGGCUGGGGAGGGAAGCCUCCCACAGAGAUCAGAGCCAAGGGUGCAUUACAACACGUUCAAUGCUGAGAAGGACGUGAUGUCCAGGGGGAGGGAGGCCUUCCGGCUUCAGCUGUCUGAGGCUUCCUCUGUACGGUGCAGGUGCACUUAACAGGUGCUAUGUUCUUUUUUGGUGUUCAGACCCAGCUGCUGAACCGAGAUAGAUCAUGGUGUACAGAAGAGAGAACUGAAUAUAUCUCAGCUCCUCUCCAGCCUCUCCAAGGCAAAAUAUAUCACAGUGGAAGGUACCGUUUGGAACGGCUAUAUAAGUCACAAAGAACUUCCUUUCAAAUCCCUUAAGGGGCUGUUGUUAAACAUUUUUACAAGGCUUAUAUUUAUCCAUAUUCAAUGCUGGUAACAGCUUAUUUUGUCAUUUUCACAUCACGUCCAGCUCCCAUUCAAGCAAAUUUUGUAUCCGAGAAACAAAAUUAGUUUCUGCGAUGAUUGUUUGGAAGCCAAAAGGCUUUUACAGUUGUCACUAUGUUGAAACCGGCUCUUAAUCCAUGUAUGGUUAAGAGCGUGCAUGGCCCUCAGGGCGAGUGAAACAUGGGUGGAAAUUACGGUGAGGACAAGACCUAAAUGAACUGUGAAUCAAAGGAUACGCAUCCCCAACUCAACUUGUUUAAACCUCCAUACUGUUAUCAAAACAAUCAUUUUAAAAGGCAAACUGUGGGAUGGUAAGAAAGUGAUUGGACCAAAACACUUUUUUUGAUUGAAUUGUUUGUUUAAUCCAGCAUUUAGAAUCCCUUUGAAUAAGGAGAUGUAGCGACAUGCCCACAUUGUGAUUCAACAUUCACCUGUCAUAAUAAAUGCUGGGGGAAACAAAGAAAACUAAUGAAUGCAACGUGUGGAAACAUGCAUAAUGUGAUGGAAAUAUGUGUAGCCCUGUGCGAACUGUAAUUGUAUUAAAGGGCUGCAUAAAUAAUGAUUUAACUGAGUUGAUCUGAUCAGCCACAACCAAUACAAUCUUUAUCAGGGUUCACAUGAGGCCAAGAAAAUCUUUGAAAGUUCAAGAGUAACAUUGCCUCUCUGAACCGACAUAUUUACAUUUACUGGGAUGGUAAAAUACCUUUCUUGUGGAUUUAAUGAAUAUAUGUUCUUCAUUGAAAUGUCUUAUCAGCCCAUUCGGGUUCGGCUUCUAUAAAAGCAGCAAGACACUGAAUAACAAACCCUGAUAUAACCGAA